GACGAACGCUGGCGGCGUGCUUAACACAUGCAAGUCGAACGGACAGGCCCUGCUUUUGUGGGGUGCUCGUGUGGCGAACGGGUGUGUAACACGUGUGUAACCCCCCCUUGACUUUGGGAUAACUUCAGGAAACUCCGGCUCUUACCGGAUAGGAUCUCCUGCUGCAUGGGGGGCGUUGGAGAAAUUCGGCCGUUGGGGCUAGUCUCGCGGCUUAUCCGCUACUUUGUGGGGUAGUGACUUACCAAGGCUGUGACGGGUAGCCUGCCUGAGAGCGUGGCCGGCGACAAGGGGACUACGAGACGGCGCAGAAGGCAACGGGAGGCAGCAGUCGGGAACAUUACACAAUGGGCGGAAGCCUGAGGCAGCAGCGCCGCGUGCGGAAUGACGGCCUUUGGGUGAUAAACCGCUGUGGCCUGAGACGAGGCGUGAGUGACGGUAAUGGGUAAAGAAGCACCGGCUAACUACGUG
rnacentral:rRNA from 1 species